AGACCCUCCAGGGGUAGGGUCCAGGAUUGAAGAGGGAAGCCCUGCUCCACACGUGUUCAUCAGGAAGGACCCACAGACUGCUGCUCCUGGAGGCCUCUCAGGGUUUAUGGAUGUGUGUUUGUUCCAUAAACCCUCAGAGGGUCACCUGGAGACCUGCUAAAAUGCAGGUUCUUGGGCCACAUCCUAGACCUUCUGACCGACCCAGGGAGUGGGGCCCAGGAAGCUGCAUUUGACAGAUAUCCCCGUGUGAUCAUCAUGCACACAGGAGUGACAGAACCAGUGUUCUCCCCGGGCAGAAGGGAAGCUCGUGUGCAGGACACCUCACACCUCCUUUCCUAUUCCCCUGCCAGGCUCUCCCUGCUGACAUUGUUUCGCGGGAGAGCUGUGAAUACUGAAGAUUAGGUUGCUUCUCACCCCAAGCUCCAGAAGUCCAGGCUGAGCCAAACCAAGCUUCAAGUUGUGCCUGGACUUGGAGAACCAGGAAGUGAGGGGACUGACUACUUGAAGAUCACAUGGAGGAGGAGUCUGAUCCAGGCCCAGUCUUGCUCUGUUGCCCAGGCUGGAGUACAGUGGCAUGAUCUCAGCUCACUGCAACCUCUGCCCCCCAGGUUCAAGCAAUUCUCAUGCAUCAGCCUCCCAAGAAGCUGGGACUGACUACAGGCAAGCACCACCACACCCAGCUAAUUUUUGUGUCUAAC
rnacentral:lncRNA from 1 species